rnacentral:rRNA from 1 species
GUGAGUCACGCUUCGGAUUAUUGGGCGUAAGAGCUCGUAGGCGGUUUGUCGCGUCUGCUGUGAAAACUGGAGGCUCAACCUCCAGCCUGCAGUGGGUACGGGCAGACUAGAGUGCGGUAGGGGAGAUUGGAAUUCCUGGUGUAGCGGUGGAAUGCGCAGAUAUCAGGAGGAACACCGAUGGCGAAGGCAGAUCUCUGGGCCGUAACUGACGCUGAGGAGCGAAAGGGUGGGGAGCAAACAGGCUUAGAUACCCUGGUAGUCCACCCCGUAAACGUUGGGAACUAGUUGUGGGGGCCUUUCCACGGUCUCCGUGACGCAGCUAACGCAUUAAGUUCCCCGCCUGGGGAGUACGGCCGCAAGGCUAAAACUCAAAGGAAUUGACGGGGACCCGCACAAGCGGCGGAGCAUGCGGAUUAAUUCGAUGCAACGCGAAGAACCUUACCAAGGCUUGACAUAUACGAGAACGGGCUAGAAAUAGUCAACUCUUUGGACACUCGUAUACAGGUGGUGCAUGGUUGUCGUCAGCUCGUGUCGUGAGAUGUUGGGUUAAGUCCCGCAACGAGCGCAACCCUCGUUCUCUGUUGCCAGCACGUAAUGGUGGGAACUCAGGGGAUACUGCCGGGGUCAACUCGGAGGAAGGUGGGGAUGACGUCAAAUCAUCAUGCCCCUUAUGUCUUGGGCUUCACGCAUGCUACAAUGGCCGGUACAAAGGGCUGCAAUACCGUGAGGUGGAGCGAAUCCCAAAAAGCCGGUCCCAGUUCGGAUUGAGGUCUGCAACUCGACCUCAUGAAGUCGGAGUCGCUAGUAAUCGCAGAUCAGCAACGCUGCGGUGAAUACGUUCCCGGGUCUUGUACACACCGCCCGUCAAGUCAUGAAAGUCGGUAACACCUGAAGCCGGUGGCCUAACCCUUGUGGAGGGAGCCGUCGAAAGUGGGAUCGGUAAUAGACUAGCAAUGGAGGGAAGAGGGUACUUAGGACCACUUUUUGCGAAGGCUCCCUUUUUUUUUUUUGCGAAUGGUGUGAACACACCAGGAGGCCGUCUCGCACGUGGGGGAGGUUGGGUAAAAUGAAAUUUCUGCUCGCUGCCGAGCGGGCGGGUGGCGGGCGUGUCGUCGCUGCCGAUAGUCCUAAGUCUUAUCGAUGUUGUGGCUGCCAUGCUAGCGAUAGCAGAGCUGGUGAUGGACUGCAGAGGAGGAGAGGAGUAGAUUGCAGUAGGUAUCGUGCUCGACAUCGUACGUCGUCGAUAGUGACGUCGGCGUCACGUAUCGCAUGCUGAAGUAGACUGUGGAGU